CGCGACUGCGGCGGCGGUGGUGGGGGGAGCCGCGGGGAUCGCCGAGGGCCGGUCGGCCGCCCCGGGUGCCGCGCGGUGCCGCCGGCGGCGGUGAGGCCCCGCGCGUGUGUCCCGGCUGCGGUCGGCCGCGCUCGAGGGGUCCCCGUGGCGUCCCCUUCCCCGCCGGCCGCCUUUCUCGCG
ensembl:miRNA MIR3648-2 microRNA 3648-2